rnacentral:rRNA from 1 species
GAUGAACGCUGGCGGCGUGCCUAAUACAUGCCAGUCGAGCGAACAGACGAGGAGCUUGCUCCUCUGACGUUAGCGGCGGACGGGUGAGUAACACGUGGAUAACCUACCUAUAAGACUGGGAUAACUUCGGGAAACCGGAGCUAAUACCGGAUAAUAUAUUGAACCGCAUGGUUCAAUAGUGAAAGACGGUUUUGCUGUCACUUAUAGAUGGAUCCGCGCCGUAUUAGCUAGUUGGUAAGGUAACGGCUUACCAAGGCAACGAUGCGUAGCCGACCUGAGAGGGUGAUCGGCCACACUGGAACUGAGACACGGUCCAGACUCCUACGGGAGGCAGCAGUAGGGAAUCUUCCGCAAUGGGCGAAAGCCUGACGGAGCAACGCCGCGUGAGUGAUGAAGGUCUUCGGAUCGUAAAACUCUGUUAUUAGGGAAGAACAAAUGUGUAAGUAACUAUGCACGUCUUGACGGUACCUAAUCAGAAAGCCACGGCUAACUACGUG